UGGGGAAUUUUGGACAAUGGGCGCAAGCCUGAUCCAGCCAUGCCGCGUGCGGGAAGAAGGCCUUCGGGUUGUAAACCGCUUUUGUCAGGGAAGAAAUCUUCUGAGUUAAUACCUCGGGAGGAUGACGGUACCUGAAGAAUAAGCACCGGCUAACUACGUGCCAGCAGCCGCGGUAAUACGUAGGGUGCAAGCGUUAAUCGGAAUUACUGGGCGUAAAGCGUGCGCAGGCGGUUUUGUAAGACAGAGGUGAAAUCCCCGGGCUCAACCUGGGAACUGCCUUUGUGACUGCAAGGCUUGAGUGCGGCAGAGGGGGGAUGGAAUUCCGCGUGUAGCAGUGAAAUGCGUAGAUAUGCGGAGGAACACCGAUGGCGAAGGCAAUCCCCUGGGGCCUGCACUGACGCUCAUGCACGAAAGCGUGGGGAGCAAACAGGAUUAGAUACCCUGGUAGUCACGCCCUAAACGAUGUCAACUGGUUGUUGGGAAGGUUCCCUUCUCAGUAACGUAGCUAACGCGUGAAGUUGACCGCCUGGGGAGUACGGCCGCAAGGUUG
rnacentral:rRNA from 1 species